rnacentral:rRNA from 1 species
AGUGAACGCUGGCGGUAGGCCUAACACAUGCAAGUCGAACGGCAGCACAGUAAGAGCUUGCUCUUACGGGUGGCGAGUGGCGGACGGGUGAGGCAUACAUCGGAAUCUACUUUUUCGUGGGGGAUAACGUAGGGAAACUUACGCUAAUACCGCAUACGACCUACGGGUGAAAGCAGGGGAUCUUCGGACCUUGCGCGAUUCAAUGAGCCGAUGUCGGAUUAGCUAGUUGGCGGGGUAAAGGCCCACCAAGGCGACGAUCCGUAGCUGGUCUGAGAGGAUGAUCAGCCACACUGGAACUGAGACACGGUCCAGACUCCUACGGGAGGCAGCAGUGGGGAAUAUUGGACAAUGGGCGCAAGCCUGAUCCAGCCAUACCGCGUGGGUGAAGAAGGCCUUCGGGUUGUAAAGCCCUUUUGUUGGGAAAGAAAAGCAGCAGGUUAAUACCCCGCUGUUCUGACGGUACCCAAAGAAUAAGCACCGGCUAACUUCGUG